UACGGAGGAUGCAAGCGUUACUCGGAAUGACUGGGCGUAAAGGGCGCGUAGGCGGCCUAGCAAGUCUGGUGUGAAAGCCCAGGGCUCAACCCUGGAAGGGCACUGGAAACUGUUAGGCUUGAGUUCCGGAGAGGCGGGGGGAAUUCCCGGUGUAGCGGUGAAAUGCGUAGAUAUCGGGAGGAAUACCGGUGGCGAAGGCGCCCCUCUGGACGGAAACUGACGCUGAGGCGCGAAAGCGUGGGGAGCAAAUAGG
rnacentral:rRNA from 1 species